GUUACCCAGGUUAGUCUCAAACUCCCAAGCAAACCUCCUGCCUUGGCCUCCCAAAUUGCUAGGAUUACAGGCAUGAGCCACAGCUCUGGCUGGAUUUUUUUUUUCUUACAGUCUGAAUAUGUUCAUAGAUUUUUUCUUGAUUGGGCAUUUACUGGGUUGUUGUAAACCUAUAACUGUUUUUCACAGCUCCUACGAAGUUUAAUCAGAUUGCUUCUGUUUCAUUUUCUUUUGUUUUGUUGAUGUUUCUGUUGGGGAACAAAAGUUUGAAGCUUCCUUGUACAUGACUCUUGUCUUCACUUCUGAUUUUAUAAUUAAACUUGUUGAUGUGGUUUGGAUAUUUGUAUCCUCCAAAUCUGAUGUUGGAAUGUGGUCCCCAAUUUUGGAGGUGGGGGCUAGUGGGAUGUAUUUUCGUUAUAGAGGUGGAUCCCUCAUGAAUGUCUUGGUGUGUUCCCUCUGGUAAUGAAUGAAUUCUCACUUCCUUAGUUCACAUAGUAGCUACUUGUUUACAGGAGCCUGGCAUCUCUCUUGCCAUGUAAUAUGCCUGCUCCCCCUUCACCUUCUGCUAUGAAUAAAAGCUCCUCAGGCCUCAGGAAGAAGAGGCCAUCAGAAGUAGAUGUUGCCACCAUGCUUCCUGUACAGUCUGCUGAACCAUGAGCCAAAUAAAUCUAUUUUCUUUAUAUAGUACCUGAACUCAGGUAUUCUUUUAUAGCAAUGCAAAUCAGACAAACACACUUAUUAUUUAACAUAAUUGUAGGCUCACAUGCAAUGAUAAGAAAUGGUAAUCCUCUGUACUCUUUAUACACUUUCCUACAAUGGUAACACCUUCCAAAACUAUAGUACAAUAUUACAUCCAAAAUAUUGAUAUUGAUACAGUUAAGGUCCAGAACGUUUCCAUUACUGCAGGGAUUCCUUAUACUGACCUUUUAUGCUCAUACUCACUUUCUCCCCUGGCAGACCUCUUUCUUAACUCUUACAACCACUAAUCUGUUUUCCACUUUAAAAAUGUUGUUAUUUUCAGAAUGAUAUAUAAAUAAAUCAUGCAAUAUGAAACAUUUUGGGAUUAGUCAUUUUCAUUCAGCAUAAUUCACUGGAACUUCAUCUGGGUUAUUGAAUGUAUUAAUAUAAUUCCAUUAUAUGGAUAUUCUACUGUUUAUUUAUUAUUCAUCCACUGAAGGACAUCUGGGAUAUUUUAAAUUUAGGAAUAUUAUGAAUGAAACUUGUAUUGCCAUUUGUGUAAAGGUUUUUGUGUGAACACAAGGUUUUACUUCUAGGAAAUAAAUGCCGGAAAAUGCAAUUAUUGUAUUAUAUGAGAGGUCCAUGGGUAGUUGGUUUUUUUUUUUUUUUUUUUUUGAAUAAACUGCCAUGCUCUUUAUCAGAGUGGCUAUAGUGUUUUGCAUUAUCACCAGAAUGUAUGAGUAAUCUGGUUUCUCUAAUUUUUUUCUAACAUUUGGCUUUUUGAACAUUUUAUCUUAGUCAUUCUGAUAGGUAUCUAGUAAUACCUAAUUGUAGCUUUAUUGUUGAUCCCUAAUUGCUACUGGCAUUGAAAAUAUUUUCAUGUAUUUCUUUGCGAUCUUGCAUAUUUUCUUUGGUAAAAUGUCUUUUCAUGUCCAGGUUCUAAUUGGGCUGUUUGAUUUUUUACUGUUGAGUUUUGAGUGGUUUUUAAAAAUAUAUUCUAGAUAUAAGUGCUUUGUCAGAUAUGUGCUUGCAAACAUUUUCUCCAAAAUUUUAGCCUUAUCUUUUAUGCUUGCAAUAUGUUUUUUCACAGGGUAAAAGUUUAAAAAUGUUUAAGAAGUUCAACUUAUCAGUUUUUCAUUUUUUAGAUUAUGCUUUUGAUGUCAAGUCUAAGAGCCCUUUCCCUAGCCUUAGAUCCUGAAUAUUUUCCUUUAUGUUGUUUCCUAAAAGCUUUAGAAUGUUAUGCUACUUUUAAGUUUGUGAUAAAUUUUGAAUCGAUUUUAGUAUAAGAUGUGAGAUUUAGAUUGAAGUUUAUUUUUUGCCAGUGGAUGUCCAGUUGCUCCAACACCAUUUUUUGGAAGGCUAUCUUUCCUUUGGUUAGUUGCAUUUGCUCCUUUGUCAAAAUUCAGGUGGACAUAUUUUUGGAUUAUUUAUCUUGUUCCAUUGAUUUACAUGUCUAUUCAUCUAAUUAUUAUACACAGUCUUGAUUACUGUAGCUAUUUAGUAAAAAUCUUAGAGUACAUUGAUUUUUCCUACUUUUUUCUUGUUUCUCAAAAUUGUUUUAAUUAUACUUGUUCCUUUGCUAUUCUAUAUAAAUUUUACAGUAAUCUCAUCUAUAGCCACAGAAAAUCUUGCUGGCAUUUUGGUAGAAAUUGUGUAAAAUUUUAUCAAUUCAAGAAAAACCAGUAUCUCACCAUGACUUUUUGAGUGUUCCAACUCGAGCACAGCAUGUCUCUCCAUUUAUUUAGAUUUUAAAAAUCUUUCAUCAGUGUUGUGUAGUUUUUGUAGUUUUUGGAACACAAGUCCUGUACAUUUUUUUUACAUUUACACCUAGGUAUCCUUUUUAAGUUAAUGUAAAUGGUAUUAUAUUUUACAUUUUGGUAUUGAUUUUUUAAUUGUUAGUAUAUGGAUAUACAAUUUACUUUUCUAUAUUCAUCUUUUUUUCGGUGACCUUGCUAAAUUUAUUUAUUCUAGAAGUGUUUUUCUUUGUCCAUUCUUUGGGAUUUUAAAGUACACAGUUGUGUCAUACAUGAAUAAAAGCAGUUUUAUUUCUUUCUCAUUUGCAUUCCUCUUAUUUACUUUUCUUGCGUUAUUGCAUCACGCAGAGCUUCCAGUGCUGUGUUGAAACAGAAUGGUGAGAACAGAUAUUUUGGCCUUGCUCCUGAUAUUGGGAUAAAAGCAUUCAGUCCUUCACAAUUAAAAAUAAAUCUGUCUAUAGGUUUUUCAUAGAUGCUUCUUACUGAGUUGAGAAAGUUCUCAGUUCUCCUCUAUUUCUAUUUCUCUCAGUUUUUUUAAAACCAUGAAUUGAUAUUGAAGUUUGGUCGAAUGUUUCUCUGCAUUUAUUGAUAUGAUCAUUAUGAACAUAUGUCUUUUCUUCUUUAGCCCAUCAAUAUGGUAGAUUAUAAUGACUGAUUUUCAAAUAUUGAAUAUAUGAAAUAAAACCUACUUGGUCAUGGUGUAUGAUUCUUUUUAUUCAUUGUAAAAUUUUAUUUGCUAGUAUUUUGAAAAGAAUGUUGAAAUCUAAAUUUAUGAAAGUUAUCAGUCUGUAUUUUCUUUUUAUUUCUCUAUUGUCUUUGGUUUUGGCAUCAGGGUGACACUAUCUUCAUGGCAUACAUUGAGAAGUGUUCCUUCUACUUAGCUGGAUUACCUUCCUAUGAGGGGACUUCCAAAAGUUCAUGGAAAAUGGAAUUAGAAGAUAAAAAU